rnacentral:tRNA from 1 species
CAGGGGGUAGUUUAAUAAGAACAUUAGUUUUGGGGAUUAGCAGUCAGUUAUGUCCCUUGG